rnacentral:rRNA from 1 species
UUAAGCGACUAAGCGUACACGGUGGAUGCCCUGGCAGUCAGAGGCGAUGAAGGACGUGCUAAUCUGCGAUAAGCGUCGGUAAGGUGAUAUGAACCGUUAUAACCGGCGAUUUCCGAAUGGGGAAACCCAGUGUGUUUCGACACACUAUCAUUAACUGAAUCCAUAGGUUAAUGAGGCGAACCGGGGGAACUGAAACAUCUAAGUACCCCGAGGAAAAGAAAUCAACCGAGAUUCCCCCAGUAGCGGCGAGCGAACGGGGAGCAGCCCAGAGCCUGAAUCAGUGUGUGUGUUAGUGGAAGCGUCUGGAAAGGCGCGCGAUACAGGGUGACAGCCCCGUACACAAAAAUGCACAUGCUGUGAGCUCGAUGAGUAGGGCGGGACACGUGGUAUCCUGUCUGAAUAUGGGGGGACCAUCCUCCAAGGCUAAAUACUCCUGACUGACCGAUAGUGAACCAGUACCGUGAGGGAAAGGCGAAAAGAACCCCGGCGAGGGGAGUGAAAAAGAACCUGAAACCGUGUACGUACAAGCAGUGGGAGCACGCUUAGGCGUGUGACUGCGUACCUUUUGUAUAAUGGGUCAGCGACUUAUAUUCUGUAGCAAGGUUAACCGAAUAGGGGAGCCGAAGGGAAACCGAGUCUUAACUGGGCGUUAAGUUGCAGGGUAUAGACCCGAAACCCGGUGAUCUAGCCAUGGGCAGGUUGAAGGUUGGGUAACACUAACUGGAGGACCGAACCGACUAAUGUUGAAAAAUUAGCGGAUGACUUGUGGCUGGGGGUGAAAGGCCAAUCAAACCGGGAGAUAGCUGGUUCUCCCCGAAAGCUAUUUAGGUAGCGCCUCGUGAAUUCAUCUCCGGGGGUAGAGCACUGUUUCGGCAAGGGGGUCAUCCCGACUUACCAACCCGAUGCAAACUGCGAAUACCGGAGAAUGUUAUCACGGGAGACACACGGCGGGUGCUAACGUCCGUCGUGAAGAGGGAAACAACCCAGACCGCCAGCUAAGGUCCCAAAGUCAUGGUUAAGUGGGAAACGAUGUGGGAAGGCCCAGACAGCCAGGAUGUUGGCUUAGAAGCAGCCAUCAUUUAAAGAAAGCGUAAUAGCUCACUGGUCGAGUCGGCCUGCGCGGAAGAUGUAACGGGGCUAAACCAUGCACCGAAGCUGCGGCAGCGACGCUUAUGCGUUGUUGGGUAGGGGAGCGUUCUGUAAGCCUGCGAAGGUGUGCUGUGAGGCAUGCUGGAGGUAUCAGAAGUGCGAAUGCUGACAUAAGUAACGAUAAAGCGGGUGAAAAGCCCGCUCGCCGGAAGACCAAGGGUUCCUGUCCAACGUUAAUCGGGGCAGGGUGAGUCGACCCCUAAGGCGAGGCCGAAAGGCGUAGUCGAUGGGAAACAGGUUAAUAUUCCUGUACUUGGUGUUACUGCGAAGGGGGGACGGAGAAGGCUAUGUUGGCCGGGCGACGGUUGUCCCGGUUUAAGCGUGUAGGCUGGUUUUCCAGGCAAAUCCGGAAAAUCAAGGCUGAGGCGUGAUGACGAGGCACUACGGUGCUGAAGCAACAAAUGCCCUGCUUCCAGGAAAAGCCUCUAAGCAUCAGGUAACAUCAAAUCGUACCCCAAACCGACACAGGUGGUCAGGUAGAGAAUACCAAGGCGCUUGAGAGAACUCGGGUGAAGGAACUAGGCAAAAUGGUGCCGUAACUUCGGGAGAAGGCACGCUGAUAUGUAGGUGAGGUCCCUCGCGGAUGGAGCUGAAAUCAGUCGAAGAUACCAGCUGGCUGCAACUGUUUAUUAAAAACACAGCACUGUGCAAACACGAAAGUGGACGUAUACGGUGUGACGCCUGCCCGGUGCCGGAAGGUUAAUUGAUGGGGUUAGCGCAAGCGAAGCUCUUGAUCGAAGCCCCGGUAAACGGCGGCCGUAACUAUAACGGUCCUAAGGUAGCGAAAUUCCUUGUC